rnacentral:lncRNA from 1 species
GGAAUUGUUACAUGAAUUUUUUCAAUAACUCUCAAAUCUUUAAAGUAUCACCUUGUUGUUUGACUUUCAACUUCUUCACUUUUUUACUUGACCUUCAACUUCUUCACCUUGUUGCUUGACUUUCCAUUUAUUCUCCCUAUUCUUUAGGUGGGCUCCUACAAUCACAUCAAAACUAGAAAGAAAAUUAUUUCAAACAAAGAUUAUUAUAAAGACAGAUUCCAUUUGCAGAAAAGUAAAGUUUCAAAUAAUAGAAAUUAAAUUUUUGCUCCUGCUUAUCAUGAGAGGACUUUUGUGAAGGUCACAUCAUAACUACUUGAAAAAUCCAAACAAAGAAAUGCAUCUUCUAUGGGUUAAUUGGAAUGAUUCGACUAGAAAGUGUAUUUUCUAGGAGCCAAAGGGAAUGACUUGACUAGAAAGUACAUUUUCUAGGAAUCAAGGAAAAUGACUCAACUACGAAGUACAUAUUCUAGGAAUCAAGGGGACUGACUCGACUAGGAAGUAAAUCUUCUAGGGAUCAAGAGGAAUGACUCGACUAGGAAGUGCAUCUUCUAGGAAUCAAAGGGGAUGACUUGAACAGGAAGUACAUCUUCUAGGAAUUAAAGGGAAUGACUCGACUAAAAGGUAUGUCUUAUAGGAAUCAAGGGAAAUGACUCGACUAAAAGCUACGUCUUAUAGAAAUCAAGGGGAAUGACUCAACUAAAAGGUACGUCUUAUAGGAAUCAAGGGAAACAACUCGACUAAAAGGUACAUCUUAUAGGAAUCAGGGGGAACAACUCGACUAAAAGGUAUGUCUUAUAGGAAUUAAGGGAAAUGACUCGACUAAAAGGUACGUCUGAUAGGAAUCAAGGGGAAUGACUCGACUAAAAGGUACGUCUUCUAGGAGUCAAAGGGAAUAACUAGACUAGAAAGUACAUCUUCUAGAAAUCAAAGGGAAGUCAAGGAGAAUGACUCAACUAGAAGGUACGUCUUCUAGGAGUGAAGGUUUAAUUUAAGAAGUACUUUACCUAGUAAAUGAAAACUAAAAUCCCUGGACAAGAAAGUGUCUCCAAGGGAUAUAGGAUGAUGAAUUUUUAACAUGAUUUGAUUAUCAAACCUGUGCAACAAUAUAGCUUCCUGAAUUUGUAAAAGUGAGGCACUGCAACCCUUGAUAUUUAUGCUCUGAGUCCUUGCUUUGAAGGUAAUACAUUUCUUGUUUCAUCAAAGAAAACUUGUGUGUUUAAAACAUGGUGACUGGUUUGCGGCUUUAGCUUUCACAAUGAUCACUCUUGCCCUCAUCACAUUUAACCUUGCUUCCAAUCAUUAGCAUAUACCAUUGACUUGCUGCAUCAUUGACCCAAACUUAGGUUAUUAAGAGUGAAUUUGAAACAAACACUGUAUCUCUGUUUUGCCAUGUUUCUCAAAUAAACCCUUUGAACCUUGAUAUUUCCAUAAGUUUCCAAACUUGUUUGUUGACAAAAAUUUCUGCAUGCCUUAUUUUGGCUCACAAUCAUGUCUCUUUCAUGUGCUGGCUUUUGUCUUACUUUGUACAAUUGAAGAAGCUGAUAACAUGUUUUAAAAUAUUUUCUCACUUAUUUUAACAUGGACUUGAGUCAAAUACAAAAGAAAAAUGACAAUGAUUUUUAUCUAGAUAACUGACUAUAGAAAAUAAAAUAAAGAUAAAGAUAAGAAAAAAAAAAGACAAGAAAUGUCCCAAUUUGAAAUAAAGAAACAAAAAAAUUAUCUAAAAAUGACAAUCGACUAUAAUUAUUAAGCCAUGCAUUUUGGAUUAAGCUGCCUGAUCUAUCCAUCCAAACUUUCUACCAAUUGUUCUUGAGUUAAUGGCCUUGAAACUGAGUUACUUCCUUGGACCAAUUGCAUUCGGAGGCCUCAUUCGUCUAGUGACGCAUUGAAGGGUUCUUUCCAACAAGCCUCUCUCAUUUUCCUUUUCUCACCUCACCACUGCCUUAUGGUAUCCAUGAGGAUUUUUCACCAAUGAGACUCUUAUUUUCAUUUCUCUUAACUCGCAGUCGUCUUACAGUGCUGUGAGGUUUUUCACCAAUAAGACUCUCUUAUUUUUAUCUCUCUCAACUUAUCAUCACCUUAUGAUGUCCGUGAGGCUCUUCAUCAAUAAGAAUCUCUCAUUUUAUUUCUCUCCUGAUUACUUAUGCUGAGGAAGAUGGAUAGUUCAAAAAAUACUUAUGCUGAGAAAGAUGGAUAGUUCAAAAAUAUGUUAUCAUAUCUAUUACAUGCUUAGCCUUAACAUUCUCAAAGAUUAAUAUGAAGGUCUUUCUUUGGUUGUAACUUCGCUUUUGGAUAAGGUUACAAAGAAAGAAUGGCAUGAGGGUCAAACGACACUUGAAGUGGGGUAGGACUUACAACUUUUGGAAUCGACUCAAACAAUAAGGAUUAACUCAUGCCCCAGUUUCUUUUGGAUGGGUGACUCUAAAUUGCUUAUUUAGUUGGACCGAGCCCCAAGUAGGGUAGCCUACGUAUCUCACCCUCGAGAGAGGAGAAUCAGGUCGCACGUAGUUCUGACAACUUAUUCCUUUGCUUGAAUCUGAUUUCUUCUAGUGGAUGGUGGAAUAAUUGAUCUUCUAGUGAAGACUAAGGAGAGCGACUACCUGUUAGAAUAUGAGUAUGAAUAAGAAUAGCAUAUAAAAUCCUACUUGGAAAAGGAUUGUAAUGUAGUGUCCUAUUAGGAAAAGGAUUGGAAUGUAGUGUCUAUGAAUAGGACCUCAAUGUAAUAAUAUAGUUACAACAAUUCAAUAAUAUUCUUCUCUUAUAUUUCUUCACAUGGUAUCAGAGCCUCUACAAUCUUGAUAGAGAAUCAAAGAGCUUCCACUGUCGGCGGGUGGCUAUAACCCAUAUAUGUCGCCUGUCCGGCCAAUGAUAAUGUUAGUUAAGUUAGGCCACCGCACUUCUUUUCCAUUCUCAUAUUUAAUUUGUGUAGCACCAUGCAUCUUUCUGGUGACUACUUUCUCUUAUCAGAUUUGUGUGCAUCUCUCUGGACUAUGCACAUUUAAUUUGCAUAGUACCAUACAUCUUUUCGGACUCUUUUCUCAUAUCUGAGUUGCAUAGCACCGUGCAUCUUUUCGGUGACUUCUUAGAUCUGAUUUUUGUAGUUCCAUGCGUCUUUACGGUGACUCCUCAGAUCUGAUUUGCAUAGGGUCGUGCCAUCAUUCAGACCCUACCCAUAUAAGUUUUCUUUUUCAGUAGGGUCGUGUCGUUAUUCUAACCCUACCCAUAUAAUUUCUCUUUUUCAGUAGGGUCAUGUUGCUAUUCUGACCCUACCAAUACAAUUUCUAUUUUUCAAAAGGGUCGUGUCAUCAUUCCGACUCUACCCAUAUAAUUUUUAUUUCUCAGUAGGAUCGUGCCAUCAUUCCGACCUACCCAUAUAAUUCUCUUUCUUAGUAGGGUUGUGUCAUCAUUCCAACCUUACCUAUAUAAUUUUUUUCUCAAAUGGUGAUCACUUUUCAACUAUCAAAUCUAAUAAUUCCGCACGAGUAUGUUCGGGCCAGUUGUUCGAUGGCUAUCUUGUUCAAGAUCUACUCAUCUCUUGAUUUCAAGAUGAUCCGUAUAUUUUAUACCAGUUUUCGGCAAUUUUCCGGUGACACAUCGACUUUAUAGCGAUGUUUACUACUUUUCAGAUAACUUUUUCAGUUUGUUCCAUUUGAGUUGAGGUCUCCCAGAUGUCCAAAGUAGUCCUUAUUAGUUUUCUUGCAGAUAUUUUCACCAAGUCCCUCACUGAUUCUCAUAUUAGUUACAUCCAUAACAAGCUUGGUACAUAUGUCUUCAAUGCACUAGCUUGGGGGGAGUGUUAGAAUAUGAGUAGGAAAAGGAAUAACAUAUAAAAUCCUACUUGGAGAGGGAUUGUAAUGUAGCAUCCUAUUAGGAAAAGGAUUGGAAUGUAGUGUAUAUAUAUAGGACCUCAAUGUAAUAAUAUAGUUACGACAAUUCAAGAUAUUUUUCUCUUAUAUUUCUCACAUUACCAUUCUUAAAAGUGGUCAAGGAGAGAAAUCAGAUGGAUCAAGGAUGGAAUUAACCAGUAAUAAAGUAAGUGGUCAAGGAGAGAAAUCAGAUGGAUCAAGGAUGGAAUUAACCAGCAAUAAAGUGAUCCCAAAAAGGAUGAUUUCAAGUGGAUGAUUGGUUAUGGGUGUAGUCAAAUUAGAGGGAACGAACUAUUUCUGAUUUUCUUAAAAUCAAAACUCUCACAUUCUUUACUUCGGUAAUUGGCAAGAUUUUUUUUGGAAAUAAUUGGCUCAAUAUAUGAGCGAGUUCUUGAGCCGGGGGUCUAUCGAAAACAACCGCUUUACCUCUUCGGAGGUAGUGGCAUGGACUGCGUACAUUUUACCCUCCACAGACCUCACUUUGUGCAAAUACACUAGGUCUGUUAUUGUUGUUGUUGUUGUUGUUUAUUGACUCUUUUUUCUCUUUGAAACUUUCUGACUCUAUUUUUCUUGACACUCUUCUUUUUCUUUCUUUUUGGACACAUUUUUUUCUCUUUUUUUCUUUUUGAAACUUUUCUGACUCUAUUGUUUUGCUUGACACCUUUUCCUUUGAACCUUGCUAACUCUAUCUUAAUUCCAAAAGAGGGGUAUGAAGGAAAAUAGGACUAAAGCUCAAAUGGGAUAAACAGAGGAUGACACAAUGUUUGGAUAGCAUAAUGAAAUGUCUUCGUCAUAUCAAUCCUUAAAAAUGCAAGUAAUCAUGCAAUAUGAUAGUGAAAGAUGGAGAUCAUUCGUGGCAUUUUUUACAGCACUAACUUUAACUGAAUUUGUGCAUCACUAAUCUUGCACUUUAUUCAACAUACCACUCCACUUUUGUUGUACAUUCCUUGUGUUGAAGGACUCAUGCUUCGUGGAGCUAAUUUUCUUUUUGUUCCUUUUGACAUAGGAUUGCACAUUCACUAUUUGACCUAAUUGAGAUAUGUCUUUCAAUUGAUGACCAAGUUAUUCUUAUGAUUCCCAAAAUAACUGCCUUAAUUUUGAAAGAAGGCUUCAAUGUGGUCACCAAAUGUCUCAACACUCUACCAAUUUCUCAGAUACCUUUUUUUCUUUCCAACUUUAGCCUUCUGAUUCAAUGUUUCAUGAUUAAAUUGAAUUUUAAGAUUCGGCUGAAAAUUCUACGAGCAUGUCAUAUCACUAGAAUCAACAUAAAAUGUACUAUAUAAAGAAAAUAAACAAACAACAUAUGUUUAAAUAACAAAGGGAAAAGGAAACUUUAUUUAGUUGAAAUAAAAGAUAAAAGAAUUUGAACAUAAACGACAGAGGGACAAAACAAGAUAGAUCCUGAACUACAAUCCUGAAAUAAUUCAGAUAACAGAAAAGAAAAGAAAACAAACUACCAAACAUCCAUCCUAGCAGGGAGAGGAGUGACUUUCCAAUUGCUGAGCUUGACAUCUUAGCCACUGGUUUGCAUAUCAGCAUGACUAGAGCUUUCGUCACUGUCAAUGUUCUGCACCAUAAUUGAUCCAUCUUGAAUCAUUUUUUCAAUUUCUCUUUUUAAGUCUCAACAAUCUUUAAUACUAUGAACCUAAGCAUCAGAAUAAUACACACAUCGUACGUUAGGAUCAAAAUUUCUUCAACGCGGAUUAAAGUGUACCAAAUAAGAGGAGUGAUCAUGCCCCACUGUACCAAUCUUUGAAAUAAACUAGCAUACGACUCUCCAAUUGGUGUAAAUCUAUCUCUCAACUUCUACCUCAUUUCAUUGUUUGGCUCGGAUAAAAAUCGAGACUAGAAGGGCUUUGGUAUGUUUGUGGAGUUAGAGGAUGACUCUGGAGAGUUGGUGUGUGCCAUUGUGGGUAAUAUGGGUGUUGAACAUGUCCUUAUGCAUUAUACACUGGAUAUGGAGAUGGGGGAAUGGAGUAUAAUGGAUUUUGGGAGUGAUUAUGUAGAGCUUGGGCAUGAAAUUGGGUUUGAGCCUAAGAGCAACGACGACGUGGUCUUCUAGACCGCGCCCGCUGCUCAACUAAAACAGCAGAUACAUAUUCGUCAUUCUUCUUCUGCCCAACAUUUCUUGGACCCUUUUGAAUUGUUUGAGUAGUAGCUUUCAAUUUUGCAAAACUCAUAAUGUGACCAUUCUUAAUUCCAUCUUGUAUCAUCUCCCCCAUUUUAAGGACCUCAAUAAAUGGCUUGCCUAAUACUGGUAACAAGUGUUGACAAUAUGUUUCACCCUGUACUUGAAUGAAUUCCUCCACUAUCUUGCUUUCUUUUCUUGGCAGUUUCACCCUAGCAGCUUGUUCACUCCAACUGAUCGCAUAAUCCCUGAAACUCUCAAUAUUCUUCUUUUUUAUACUGGUUAGGGAUUUUUCGUCAUGGAUCAAUUCCACAUUAUAUUGAAAUUGUUGCAAACAAUCAUUAGCUAAAUCAUCCUAACUAUUCCGCCUAUCAAUAUCCUGAUCAACAAACCACUCUAAGGCUAGACCCAAAAGACUCUCACCAAAGUAAGCCAUAAGUGGUUCUUCUUUGCCUCCAGCACCUCUUAAUUGGUUAUAUAAUAACAUCUCAAAUGUGCCACCGGAUCCCCGUGUCCAUCAUAUUUCUCAAAAUUUGGCAUCUUAAAGCCGAAGGGAAGAUUGACACCUGAAAACAUGCAUAAGUCCUUAUAUGAGACACUUUUUAAACCCUCAAGUUCUUGAAAUUUCUUCAUAGUCAGUUUCAAACUUCUCAAUUUUCUGGUCAUUUCUUCUUGUUUUUCUGUCAUAACAGUCUUCUCUGUGUUAAGAGAAAAGAGAAAAUUCAGGCAAGUGAGUAUAGCCGUAAGGACUAGUUAACUUAAAUGUGGGCUCGGAAGCAUAAUAACGAUCACCAGAAAUAUUCAAUAUAGGCUCUCUUGUAGAGUAGGGAGGAACAACCGAUGCAUGGACAUCAAAAGUAGGAGCUUCAAAUGGAGGUUGUGUUGCAAAAACAUGAAGAGUAGGUAGAUUCUAGCAUGUGGUAGUCUUGUGUUGAGGAUUGAGGAAAUGAAUAUUGGAAGUGUUUGGAUAGUGUUGCCGUGAUUUCAUAGACUUUUGAACGAGGAAGGGGACAGAGCCAUUGAGCUAGAGGAGCUGGAGCAUUCGAAGAAGAGCCGUAAUUUCACCUACUGUAGGCAUUUUAAUGUAGAGGAGGUCAAAGAGGCUAUUUAUAAGAUGCAGAGGGGUAGGGCGACGGGGCUGGAUAAGAUUUUAGAAGAUUUUUAGAAGUAUGCAGGCGGGGCAGGGCUUAGGUGGUUGACGGAUUUGUUUAACAGUAUUUUCAAGACUGCGAUAAAGCCUGAGGCUUGGAGAUGGAGUAAGAUAAUUUUGCUUUAUAAAAACAAGGGUGACAUUCAGAGUUGCAACAACUACAGGGGUAUUAAUUUGUUGAGUCACACUAUGAAGAUUGGGGAGAGAGUGAUUGAGUGAAGAUUGAGGAGGGUUGUGUCUGUUUUGGAGAACCAGUUUAGAUUUAUGCCUGGUCGUUCAACAACAGAGGUAAUCUAUUUGGUGAGGAGAUUAGUGGAGCAUUAUAGAGAAAAGAAGAGGGACUUACACUUGGUGUUCAUUGACCUACAAAAUGCAUAUGAUAAAGUUCCGAGGGAGGUUCUUUGGAGGUGAGAAGGGUCCCGGUGGCGUACAACAGAGUUAUUAAGGGCAUGUACGGUGGAGGGAAGACUAGGGUGAGGACAGCGAGAGGAGACUCAGACUAUUUUUUGGUCAAGACAAGGUUGCAUCAGGGAUUGACUCUUAGUCCAUUCCUAUUUGUGAUGGUGAUGGACGUGUUGACGCGGAGUAUUCAAGGCGAAGUAUCUUGGUGUAUGCUAUUUGCAGAUGAUAUAGUGCUGAUUGAUGAGAUGCAGAGGGGAGAGAAAGACAAAUUGGAGGUUUGGAGGCAAACUCUUGAGUCAAAGGGGUUCAGGUUGAGUAGGUCCAAGAAAGAGUAUUUGAAAUGCAAAUUUAGUGACUUGAGACAGGAGAACGAUGUGGUGGUGAGGUUGGACUCCUAAGAUGUUUGUAAGAGGGAUAGUUUUAAGUAUCUUGAGUCUUUGAUCUAGGGAAAUAAUGAGAUUGAUGAGGAUGUCACCAAUCGUAUUGGUGCAGGUUGGAUGAAGUGGAGGCUCACCUCGGGGGUGCUAUGUGAUAAGAAAGUACCCCUUAAGCUUAAAGGAGAAUUCUAUAAAGUGGCAGUCCAUCCGGCCAUGUUGUAUGGCGUGGAGUGUUGGCCAAUCAAGCACUCCCACAUCUAAAAAGUGAGGGUGGUGGAAAUGCGGAUGUUGCAUUGGAUGUAUGGGCUUACUAAAGGGGAUGGGAAUAGGAAUGAGAUUAUUCGGGAGAAGAUGGGAGUGGCGUUGGUGGAGGACAAGAUGCGGGAAGAAACACAGAGAUGGUUUGGACAUGUAAUGAGGAGGGACGCGGAUGCCCCAGUGCGUAUGUAUGAGAGACUAGCGUUGGAUGGCUUCAGAAGGAGUAGAGGUAGACCGAAUAAAUACUGGAGGGAGGUGAUCAGACAUAACAUGAAGCAGUUGCAGCUUACUGAGGACGUGACCCUAGAUAGGAAGGUGUAGAGGUUGUGGAUAAGGGUAGAAGGCUAGCAGGAGGGUGUGAGUUGUAGCAAGCCACCAAGAGAGAUCUUGUGUAGCUGGGUUAGUAACCUUGGGUCUGUGUCUAUAGGUGUCUAUGGCGGCGAGUAUGUGUUACUUAUACGUGGGUGUCCCUUUCAUAUUUUCUCAGUUGCUAUCUGUUUAUUUUGUGUUACCGUAUCUCUCGUAUUUUCGUAUUGCUUUGAUUUACUUUUUAUUAUUCCUUACGCCUUUUCUAUUGUGUAAUCCAUCUCCUUGUCACCUAUUCUUUAUCUUGAGUCGGGGGUCUAUCGGAAACAACCUCUCUACUUUUUCGGAGGUAGUGGUAUGAACUGCGUACAUCUUACCCUCCCCAAACCCCACUUUAUGGGAACACACUGGGUUUUUUGUUAUUGUUGUUGUUUCGAUAGUGUUGCCCUAGAGUGGAUCCUGAUGCAUGUUGUAGCAUGUCAACAAAAAUAGGAAACUGUGCAUGUGACAUUGGAGGCAAGCUAGAAAGAUAUUCUAGAUUAUCAGUGGAAAAUGAAAGAGGCGGCAACCCAAUAGCCCAAUCUCAAUGAAUUUCUAUCAUUUGUUGCCUUAAUUUCUGAAUCUUUUCAUUAGCUCCAAAAUUCUCAUCCCUCCAAACUCCUUAUCUAAUUAGUGACAACAACCUCGAUAUUCUUGUUGGCCAUAACUUUCUCUUUGACUUGGUACAAUGUGGAGGACCAGCCAAAAUGCCAUAAACAAACCACCUUAAAUUAACUAAACAAGUGAUAACAAAGGAGUUAGAAUGCAAUACCUUUCAAAAACUCCUUUUCUUUUAUAUCUUUUUUUUAAAAGAUCACCGAACCCAAGAAGGGUAUCUACGUAUCUCACUCCUGAGAGAGGAGAAUCAGAUGUGCGUAGUUCGUGAAGUCUUGCCAAAAUGGCUGAUUAAACUUUUUUUCCUUUUUUUUUUCUUUUUCUUGAAACUUUAAAAAGAAAAGAAAAUAACAAAUUGUCAAAAGAACUGAUGAAAAUCUUUUUGCAUUUUUUAAGUUUAAACUCCCUAUACAAAAUGAAACAUAUGAUUACCAAAGAAAAAUCUUUUCGAUUUUCUAUUUUCAAUUUCAUACGACAAUGAAACUUGAAGCUAUUAAAGCAAAAUCUUUUUGUGAUUUUCUUUUAAAGAUGUAGAUGAACACUUACUCUAAAUCAAGAGUAAAGAAAAUCAUUUUAUUUUUAAUUUUGAAUAAGAUCACCGAACUCACGAAGGGCUGCCUAUGUAUCUCACUCCCGAAAGAGGAGAAUCAGGUGUGCGUAGUUCAUCCAGAUUGGACGAUUAAAGGUUGAGUAACCGACUUGUAAUAGCCAGCUUAUUAUCUACUUUUAAUGAAGGUUUAAUUGGUAAUUAUAACUGACUAUUAAUGGUAAUUAAGGGAAUUAAAGUGGACAAGCCAAAAGCCUUCUUCAUUUUCAGCUAUUAGCGUUAUAAGUUUACUACUAGGGCCUUUCUAAUCCUAUUAUUUUGGAGAGCAGCAGAAAGUUGCGUAGGAAAGAAAAAAAACAGAAAGCAACUAAAGAAAUUAUUCAAUCCCUCUUUUUUUUGAACUGGAAAGAAAUAGCUUUGAAGAGAGAUUUUUGGUUGUUCAUGCGCGGUGAUAGAAAGCUUGUAUAAUAGCAAGUUCAUAGUCAGGUAUGAAAUCUAAUUAUUAUUGUGUACUCUACAUAGAGGUUGCUAUGAUUCUUGUUUAAGAAGCAUAAUUAACUAUGGCUUAAAAAAAUAAAUAGAGAAACCAACGGAAGUUUGGGGAGUGCAGACAACAUUAGCAAGGAGCAGAAAAAGAAAAUAGUUUAUGCAUCUUGUAAUGCUUUGAAAAAGGAAAAGAUUCAAUGAAUACUAUUACUAUUAGGAUCCUAUUGCUAAUUGUACGUUAGUGUAGGAAAAAAAAGAGAUUAGAGUAAUGAUUAACCAAUGAUUGAAGGAAAAGAAUGAUUUGAGGUUAAUUAGUGGAUGUUGGUGUAAAAUAUUGGAUAGUGGUAUAUUUAAUAGAAAACAAGAAAAUCGUUAUCUACUGCUACAACUCUUAUUUCUGCCAUUCUUUAUUAUAUUUGAAGACUUUUCAAAUAAUCAGAAAAUAAUGGGAGAAACUGAAAAGUAUUAAACCCGAUGGACAAAUAGUGUCCAAUGCGUGAAGCCUGAUUUCUGUUAAGUUAGCUUCCUGAUAGUAUCAUGUUGGGACAGUGGUGCUAAGAUAUUGUUAUCUUUAAUACAUGGUUUAAGGUGAAGAUUAUUGCGGCUUAGCUUUAAGACUGAAAGUAGCAGAUCUUGACACUUGAUUCUGAAUAGCGUAAUUGAUAUCAGUACUUGAUACUUUUGAUAGAUUGAAACCAUUGGAGGUUGUUUGGUUGGUGUUCUUUGCAUUUGCAAGGUUGGGAAACUUGUUGUUAGUGAGGUAAGUGAGACUUUAAGGUUUGAUGCUUGCUUUUCAAAUUUGCUUUAUAAAGAUUAUACUUUUCUGCCUAGUCCAUGUGUUGGGACAAGCGUGAACUCGGUAGAAUAUGUGGUCUUUGACAAGCUGUGGAUAUUUAUUUUGUGAACUGUACUGAGAAUCAGCUAGAGGUGAAACGCGAGGUGAGGUUGGGGUGUUGAAUAUAUAUUUUUGCUUCCGUUAUAGUCUCUAGGGGCAUACAUAGCUGUCGUAAUAUGUUAGGGGCAUUACUUUUGCUGCCGAAAUAUGUUAGGGGCAUUAUUUAUGCUGCCGUAAUAUGUUAGGGGCAUUACCUAUGCUUUCGUAAUAUAUUAGGGGCUUGUACAUGUUGCCGUAGUAGACUUUUCGGGCAUUAUAUAUGCUACCGUGGACUUGUUGGAGUGUUAGGCCGAUCACCUUCGCUGCCAUUUAUGACAAGUCGUGAGUGUGGACUGAGUUGUUAUGAGAUGACAUUUCAAACCCCUUUGAAAAUCUUAUUGAUAUUAUUUUAUGAAAGAUAUUAUGUACAUAUUUUUUGUGUAUCUUUGUUGUGUUUUGUAUUUUCUAACACUUGUUCCAGGGGUAUUAAAGUAGCGAGUCGAUGAUCUUACUGGGUUAUAUAUUUAUAUAUAGUUCACUCCUUACUUGCAUACGUACAGAUACGAUUGCAGGGAGAGACGCUCGUGGCUGACUGUAUUUACGUGUGGAUUCUAUCUUUAAGAUGAGCCUUCGCAUUAUUCGUGAAGGCUGUUAUUCAUCUCUAAUUAUUUUAGCUUAUGUUUCAGUUCAUUGGGUUUGUAGGCCCAAAGUUGAACUUAUGUAAUUUUGUUUAGAUGCUCCAUAAAUUCAGUGUGGGAUUUGGGUUAAAAAUUUGUUAUCUAAACUAUUGUAGUUUUCAUAAAUUGCUAUGCAAUAUCUUGUUGGAUAAUUAUUCUGCGUUAAUCAUUAUUUAGUGCACAUAGUGUUGUGUAUGUUUUCAUUUCAGUGUUUGUAGAUAUGGGGAAUGAAUAGAAAAAUUGGUUCUCCUAGCAAAAGGUGUUGUUGGGAGCCAGUCACGCCUAGGGGUUAUUUUGGGGCGUGACACGACUGAACCUAACUUGGGAGACACGACCAAAGAUAGACGAUGAACAACGUCAAGAAAAUCUUUUGGGUUUUUAAUUAGACAUUUCACAUAAAAAUGACACCAACAACUAUGAAAGGAAAUUUUUUUUGGUGUUUUCAUUUUAUGAAAUAUACACAACUACUACCAUGUUAUUUUUUUUUGAAUUUUUCUUUCAUAAAAAUUCCUAUUAAUUUUUUUUUGAAAUUUUUGAAUAAUUAAUGCAUGUUAAAAGAAUCAAAAGGAAAAUCUUUUUUGAAUUUUUGGAUUGUGAAAAAUAAAAGCAAAAACAAAACUCCAAAAAAAAAAACUAUGAAACUCUUUUUCUUUUGCUUUUCUUUUUUUCCUUCUUUUUUCUCAACAAUUUCUUAGCUACAUGCUUUACUUCUAACACAUGUUUUUUCCCAAAAUCAAUCUGUCAAAUGACCCCGUUACCCUCAAAGAUGCAACAUUUAGCACGUAGGGAUGCUUUAGAGGUGAGUCUCUUACAAAGGACCAAGUGGGUCCCGCUAGAUCUCAAUAUGAUGCAGAUAAGCAUGACCUAAAGGCUGACCUACGUUGGAGUUCACUAACAAGGCUAUUCGGGGGAGCGUAUGCUCGAUAGUGGCUGCGAUAGCUUUCCACCCACUCCAUACCAGCCGGUGGCUCCCCCUUCCUAAAAUAAGGGUGACUCAAUCAGAGAUCGUGUACACAGCGUGUACUACAGAGCUUGUUGCAGAAAAAAUUAGCUUGGGUUAUGCAAACGAUGUCAGAUAUAAAGCGGUAACACAGAAUAGGAGAAACUAUAAACACAUAGCAAGUAGGCACUCAACAAUGAUAAACAAAUACAAACAAUAAUACAAACAAUAUUUAUACACCCAUAAUGUCAAACUAAACCGAUAUAACUCCAAAAAUAAGCUCGAAGUCUGAAAAGUUCCCAGCAAAGUUGCCAGAGCUAUUACACCCCCGUUUUAACCAAAAAAGAUAGAUUUUAAGAUUUUAUAGGAUUUUUAUUAUUAUAAUGUGACAAAAAUGAAGAUUUGUUUCGAAAAAGAUUCAUUUUACGAUUAACUCAGAGUCGUCACUUGGCAUAAUCCAAUGUGUCAGGUCAUCUUUGGAUAAACCUUUUCAAAAUGAUUUAACUCUUUAAACUGAUUUUCGAAUAGAAAUUUCGGAUAAGGAAUUCUGUCGACUCCAUAGAGUCUAUCGGCUAAUCUAACACUAUGAAUAUAUAAACCAUUUAAAACACACAAAACAAACAAUCAAACAAACAAAACAAGUUUAAAAAUAUAAUGUCCAAUUCAAAUUAUACAGUCCCAAAAAAUAGAAAAAAUACAUAAAUGUAAAUCCUAUUCUAAACUAAUCGUAGACUAAACUCCAAUGCUUUAACCGAUUCCUCGGGCCUUGAUCACGAGCCUCCUUUGCGUACAUGAUAUUUCGGGGCAUUUCUUAGUGAAUAAGUAUAAUAUGCCUCAAGGUAUUCUCGGCCAAAUGAAUACAAUUGAUCAAAAUGCAGUAAACAAUCCAUUCAACACAUAUUCCAAACAUUACACAAUCCACAAGUUCUAAAUAUGCCUACCCGAACCUACCGUUUGCCUACCCAGCUCGACCUAUCAUGACAUUAUCACAUUCAACAACAUCAAUGAAUCAAAAUAACUAACGCUAGCUUUUAUCAAUUUUUAAUUUCCAUCCCUCAAAUAAGUAAUUUUACCUCUUGAGUGAGAUAUCAUUUAAUCACAUAAUUCAUAAUCAAGAGGGACCAAACACGAUUCAAAACAAGCAAAUAUUCACCAUCAACACAGAUCAAGCAACAUAUAACACAUAAUUCGAUGCAUUCGAAUAUAAUAAAUAAUGAAAUAAAAAGAGGAAGGAGUAGAAUUGGACCUCAGAGUUACUUUAUUUAAUCAACUUGAACCGAUUUCAACAGCGACGGCAGCCUCGGGAACCAAUGAACCUCGAAUAGACUCGAAUCGACCAUCCUCAUCCUCAAACUCGCCAAUCGAACAAUCCUCAAUACGAACCCCAAAAUCAACAAAUAACGAGACGAAUCAACCACGGAAACCCCUAAGAAAUCUGAUUUGAACGCAGUUUCUUGAAGAAGACGAAUCCCGAAAACAACACACAUAAAAAUCCAAGCGGAAUACCAACACAUAUACGAUUCGAAAUGAAUUUUGGGAAAGAUUGAUUUCUGGUGACGUCGUUU